rfam:Drosophila ananassae strain TSC#14024-0371.13 Ctg01_14801, whole genome shotgun sequence.
AUUUGCAUUAUUCAUAGGUUUUAUUUAGCAUUCGGUUUUUUUUUAUAUAAAUUUUUUUUUUUGAAUACGGAGGUGUUUAGUCCGUAGGCGUAUUUUCUAAUACGAAUCGGGCAUGCCCUUAGCGACGGCGCUUUGGGUAUCUAGGAAGAUUCACCUACCAUGGUUC